CUCACACCAGGCCAAGCUGACAGUGAGGCCUGGGGAACACACUUUCUUGCUCAUUGUCAUAAACUGAAAUAUAACCAAAUAAUCCAUCUCAGAUAGCACAGCAUUGUUUUAGCAGCAAAAGUGCACAGGCUGGCAAUGAUUUAAUUAACUGUUACUCUCAUCCCUAAGACCCAUCUACUCUCUAUGAACAGAAAACAAACCUUGUAGGAAGUGAGCCUGAAAUCGACUUCCUCAUUAUCAAUUCCAGUUCCCUAUCAGCAGCACCAUAUAAUGUAAACUCCUUGGUAAUUUCUUGCCUUUGCUACUUUAAUUAAAAGGCUACUUCAAAGCCUGGCUCUUUCCAUUUAUUCAUGAUUGACUACUUUAUAACCAUUUGUU